AUUAAAGACUUUGUUAUAUAGUUAAAGAAAACUUUAAAGCUGCAUAGUACUUGAACUAUAACAUGUGUUGGCAUUGAUUUUAUUAUGUGUACUCUUUGCUUGUGAUCACAAGUUUGGUGUUUGUUCGUAAAACUAAAACUAAAACUUUACACCACCAAAUAAUUAAACUUUUCUCCUUUUUCAAUGGAGAAUGCCGACGAGUGUAUUUGACAGAUAUUGGUGGAGCAGAAGUUAAGAAAACGAUGUUACAAAAGUAGGUUAUUAGGGCAUGGAUGAGAGAUGAAGUUGUUUACACAGUAAAGUGUUGGAGUUUGGUGAAGUGAAGAUGUGCAACAAAAUUGGGUCACUGUUGCUUGUUAAGGUUCAUUUUGGAUCCACAGCUUUUAGAGGCAACUGAAGUAGAUCUUGCUUUAAUGGCUGAUAAUUAUAAAGAUUGUGUAUUUAGCUAAAUUGAGAAGCUACUUAAUGGUUUAUCAAUGUUGGUGGCAGUGUUAGAUCCCUGAGAUUUGGUGUUUUCUUUGUAACAUUUUUUUAAAAUUAUUUAUGAUAAAUUCGAUCA